GCUUGCACACAACAUAUCUAUCCUUGCACACACCUUGCACACACCUUGCACACACUUUAUAUAUAUAUAUAUGUAUAUAUAUAUAUAAAAAUAUAUCUAUAUAUAUAAAAAGUGUGUGCAAGGAUAGAUAUGUGGUGUGCAAGU